UACGUAGGUGGCAAGCGUUGUCCGGAUUUACUGGGUGUAAAGGGUGCGUAGGCGGGACGGUAAGUUGGAUGUGAAAUACCCGCGCUCAACGUGGGGGCUGCAUUCAAAACUAUCGUUCUUGAGUGAAGUAGAGGCAGGCGGAAUUCCCGGUGUAGCGGUGAAAUGCGUAGAGAUCGGGAGGAACACCAGUGGCGAAGGCGGCCUGCUGGGCGUUUACUGACGCUGAGGCACGAAAGCAUGGGUAGCAAACAGG
rnacentral:rRNA from 1 species